rnacentral:rRNA from 1 species
UACGUAGGUGGCAAGCGUUGUCCGGAUUUACUGGGCGUAAAGAGCGCGCAGGCGGUCCGAUCAGUCGAAUGUGAAAGCCCCCGGCUCAACUGGGGAGGGUCAUUCGAUACUGUCGGACUCGAAGGCAGGAGAGGGAAGCGGAAUUCCCGGUGUAGUGGUGAAAUGCGUAGAUAUUGGGAAGAACACCAGUGGCGAAGGCGGCUAACUGGUCCGGUACUGACGCUGAGGUGCGAAAGCGUGGGGAGCAAACAGG